UUGCCAUUAUAUCCCCUACGGCUGACGUUGAAAACUCCUACGUCUGUUGUAAAGGUUUUCAUGCCAUUAAUGUGCAGGCGAUUUACAAUGCCCAGCUUAUAUUUACUGAUGUAGUCUGCAGGUGGCCAGGCAGUACCCAUGACAUUUUCAUUUUCAACAACAGUGGUAUUGGCCAACAUUUUGAGGCUGAGGAGACAGUAAAACCCACACCAAGUCAGACAUGUCCUUGCAAGAAUGGUGUCAAAUGUAAGCCAGAUCCAGAAACUGGUGGGCUGGUGUGUUUGUGCUUGAAUGACUAUUAUGGGGAAUACUGUGAAAAGGAGCCUUCAGCAUUCACUGGAGCUGAUGCAAGUUCAAUAUGAGCAAGGCCCUGCAUUCCAGUGGCUGGGGGCGAGUUCAGACUGGGGCACCUGCUGGAAUGGUGACUUUCCAUGGAGGAAAUGUUGUGGCCAUCAGUAUGCCAGACUUUGUAUAUGACAGCUCUG